CCUACGGGUGACAGCAGUGAGGAAUAUUGGUCAAUGGACGGAAGUCUGCACCAGCCAUGCCGCGUGCAGGAAGACGGCUCUCUGAGUUGUAAACUGCUUUUGUACAAGGGUAAACCUGAAUACGUGUAUUCAGUUGAAAGUACUGUAUGAAUAAGGACCGGCUAAUUCCGUGCCAGCAGCCGCGGUAAUACGGAGGAUCCAAGCGUUAUCCGGAUUUAUGGGGUUUAAAGGGUGCGGGGGCGGAUUAUAAGUUAGAGGUGAAAUGUCCGAGCUUAACUCGGGAACUGCCUCGAAUACUGUGGGUCUAGAGAGUAGAUGCGGUAGGCGGAAUGUAUGGUGUAGCGGUGAAAUGCUUAGAUAUCAUGCAGAACACCGAUUGCGAAGGCAGCUUACCAAUCUAUAACUGACGUUGAGGCUCGAAAGCGUGGGGAGCAAACAGGAUUAGAUACCCUUGUAGUC
rnacentral:rRNA from 1 species